GUUUGUUAUACUUGAUGAACUUGCCUUGACAUGUUCUUAUCUCUCUACAUCUCCAGCUCACACCUUGGUGAGUUUGGUGAGUUUGGAGCAAUGCAUCCUGCACUUCAAACCAGGAUGGGAAGUGUCACAGGACAUGCUACCUCACGCUUUGGCUGGAAUGGAUGGAGUAACAUUGGCUUCUGCAGUCCCCAACAUAAGCCAAGCAUCACAGCAUCCAGGGGAGACUUCGUUUCCUUCAGUCAAGCUGCCCCGAUGGCAGAAGAAAGACAGCCAACACAAACGUACCAAUUCCAGAAGGAAGCACUCACAGUAACCGCCUCCCUCAAACCACAGAGUGUUAUUAAACUCGGGUCACAAGGAAAGAGAGCGAUGGCAGACACGUUCAGUGUCUUAAGCCCACUCAGCAGUGGAAGCAGCGUCAGCCCAUGCUGCAAAGACUUUUAACUCCUUGUUGUAGGUACCAGGCCUCACAGGAGGGCUCCUGAUUGAUUCAUGAUGUAAGAUUCAAUAUCACACUGGUUAAAGUGGGGAUAGGACCAUCGUCACGUGACACAGGAAUUUGGGGGGUAGCCUGUAACCAGACUGGACGUUCUUAAACUUGCCAGUGUUAUAAAGCAAAUGGUCAAAAAGCUAGGUAACGCAGAGGCGAUAAGUGUCACACACAGAAGGUGCCAUCGACUGUGUCUCACAAUGUGUGGAGAGUAAAUGAAGAAGACGGCUUUGUAGACAGCUCUUUCAUGACCCUUAUUACUGAAGGCUGUGCUAGACUCCCAAAUCUGCCCAUCCAUCUCAAGUUAUAGAAGGCACCUAUACUUUCCAACCUCCGUCCUUCUCUGGGAAAGUUCCUGUUUGGGGAAGCUUGAAUAUAACUUCAUAUUAGUUGCCCUUUUAUCCUUAUAACAAGAUACCUGAGAUAAUCAAGUUACCAAGAAAGAAGAUGUACUUGGGGUUGCAGUUUUGGAAGCUCAGCACAUGUUUACUUGGCUCCAUUGAUUUGAGCCCGAGGUGGGGUUAGCACAUUAAGGUGGAUGUGUGAGGCAGAACAAUGACAGAUGAAGGACCCUAAUGGCUGAGCAUCUCCCACAAGGCCCUCCCUCCUGCAGGCUACACCCCCUCCCAAGUGUCACCAUCAGAACCAAGCCUUCUCUCUGUCUCUGUCUCUCGGUCUCUCUCUAUAUAUAUCUCUGUCUCUGUCUCUCUCUCCAUAGCUCUUAAGUAUGGUGGUUUGAAGGAGGAUGGCCCCCAUAAUAAGUUCAGAUGCUUGCAUACUUGGUCCCCUCCCCAUCCUGUUGGUUGGAACUGUCUGGGAAGGAUUUGGAGGUGUGGACUUGUUGGAGAAGUAUGACACUAGAUGUGGGCUUUGAGGUUUCAAAUGACCCUCACCAGCCCUGUGCUCUCUGCCUCCAACUAGCUGGUUUUUU
rnacentral:lncRNA from 1 species